AGAAGCAGUAGGUGUAUGUGUGUGUGUGAUACUGAGCAACCAUUGUUGCACUUUUAUCCCCAACAAUACUGCCCCGGAUGGCACAGUAACUAGAGCACUGCAAGGGCUUACCACCCUUGCCAGUGAAUUGGCAGAAAAAU